GAUGAACGCUAGCGGCAGGCUUAAUACAUGCAAGUCGAGGGGCAGCAGGAUUGUAGCAAUACAGUUGCUGGCGACCGGCAAACGGGUGCGGAACACGUACAGAACCUUCCUUCAAGUAGGAGAUAGCCCAGGGAAACUUGGAGUAAUACCCCAUAGGAUAGUGGAGUGGCAUCAACCAGCUAUUAAAGACUCAUCGCUUGAAGAUGGCUGUGCGGAUGAUUAGGUAGUUGGCGGGGUAACGGCCCACCAAGCCUUCGAUCAGUAACUGGUGUGAGAGCACGACCAGUCACACGGGCACUGAGACACGGGCCCGACUCCUACGGGAGGCAGCAGUAAGGAAUAUUGGGCAAUGGAGGCAACUCUGACCCAGCCAUGCCGCGUGGAGGAUGAAGGUCCUCUGGAUUGUAAACUUCUUUUAUUUGGGAAGAAAUGCCGACUUUCUAGUUGGUUUGACGGUACCAGAUGAAUAAGCACCGGCUAACUCCGUGCCAGCAGCCGCCGUAAGAC
rnacentral:rRNA from 1 species